UCACAUGUUUAAGAUUCUAGGAGACCAGGAGAAAAAGAAAGUACAAGUGCUGACUUUUGCAUGUGUUUUUCCUAAUCUGCUUUUCCUUGCUUCUGCAUUAAUCAGAGGACAGCAAGAGAAUCACCACCAUUACACAGCAAGCUUGGGAAAACUAUUGAAGAAACAUUCUGAACAUGUUCUGGGAACAGAAGAAAGGAUUCAAACCAAUUCACCAGCUCAUCCUCAUCUGUAGAGUAUUGGCAAAAUAAAUUCAGAGUUUAUCUGGUUGAAGGAGUAAAAUCCUACCUGGGCAUAGAAAAGGAAACAAGUACUGGAAAUACACAAGGGACCUCCUGGGACUAAGGCCUGAUAUUGCUACAACUUCUUCAGCUGGGGAAUACCCAAACCACCAGUGCUAGCCACAUCAGUCUUUGUAGCGGCUGAGAGUUUAAUCUAUUCCAUCUGAAAUGAGCCCUGCGGGUGUUGCUGAAGAGAGUUAAAACACACUGCAUCAGCAGCUGCACAGCCAGAAAACUGUAAGAACCAGAGGCCUUGUCUGAAGCUUGACAAAGGUGCCAAGGAUGAAGGAGACUGAGAAUUUUCAUGUUUGUUUCCUUCCGCUCACUGGUAUGCUUCUGUUCCUCCAAUUGAUAGAAGUGAGGAAG